rnacentral:tRNA from 1 species
GGGGCUGUGGAUUAGUGGAAGAUCACUCGCUUGGCAUGCGAGAGGCCGAGGGUUCAAUUCCCUCCAGCUCCA